GUGAUAACAAGCACUUUUUUACAUUUUAAUAUUUUAUGAUGUAUUUAAAUGAGUAGUUAUUGUUGCAAACUUCAUUAGAAAUUUGAAUUGAGAUCAGUUUUGAAUAAGGGAAAGGGGAUGUGAAAAAAAAAUUGGGGGGGUCAAUUUUUUUCAUUUCAGAUUUCAUAAAUAAAAAGAAAAUUUCUUCAAACAUUUUUUUGAGAGGAUUAAUAUUCAACGGCAUAGUGAAUUGCUCAAAGGCAAAAAAAAUUUUUUAAGUUCAUUAGACCACAUUCAUUCUGUAUCAGAAACCUAUGCUGUGUCAACUAUUUAAUCACAAUCCAAAUUUAGAGCUGAAUCCAGCUUGAAUGUUGUGUCCAUACUUGCCCCAACCGUUCAGGGUUCAACCUCUGCGGUCGUAUAAAGCUGCGCCCUGCGGAGCAUCUGGUUUUCUUUUUGUAACUGUUUAUUUUGUUUAAUUUUGUGGCAUAUUGAAAUGGCUUAUAUAUUUUUAAAAUUAGACCUGUGCAAGUACAUUUUAAUUUUAGCAGACAAGAAAUUGCAAGUGAUAUGACAUUGUAUUAUAUUCAAUAUUCCUCAGUGCCUUUGACUUGGUAAUUUCUUUGCAUUGUGUUGGGAUGUAACAUUUUUCUUUUCAAAUACAUCGUGUGUUUUUUGUUUAUCACAAAACAUUUUGAACUGGUUAAAAAAAUUUGUUUAUAUGUUAUAAUAGAGGGAUUUGUCAUAUUUUUUUCAACCAUUAUUUAUUAAGUCUCCCAAACAAAGUUUGGAGACUUAUUGUUUUUGCUCAGUUCUUAUUAUUUUUAUUAUUAUGGCACCCUCAACGGAGUUGGGGUGACAUAUUGUUAUUGUUCGUUUCUUUUUUUCUUAUUAUAUUUAUUCUUCCACACUUUUUUGUCCAUGCUAUUUCUCGGAAUUGGCUUGAACAAUAUUGAUGAAUCUAUGCCAUAAUGUAGUCCACUAUAUGAAAUUGUGCAAACGGGGUAUGGCAUUAUCAAGAUGGCUGACGUUGCCAUGGAAACGAAACAAAUGUGAAAAAAUCCAGGUUUUUGAUUUGGUGAACUUUUUGGAUACUAUUUAACUCAGAAUCAUUAUAUUUUAAUACAAUGUAGGUGCCCACUAUAUACAGGUGUUGGAUGAUUUUUGGCACUCAUUGGAACUACUAUGUUGCCAUGGAAACUACUCCAAAAAAUUCAAAAAUCUCAAAAUGUUCCAAACUUAAUGAAACUUCACAGUAACGAUGAGCAACAUUGGAAGAUGUGGAAUUUGGCGUUGGAAUUUCCAAAAUCGCUGUUGUUACCAUGGAAACAAUGCAAAAAGGUCAAAACUUUGAAUUUUCACAGAACAUUCUAGAACAUCAAUGUUUAAUUUAUUCUAGAGACAUUAAAUGGUAUAUGAUUGUUUAUGAUUAUGGAGGGAAAAAAUUGCAGCGGGGUUUGAGUUUGGAAUAUUCAAAAUGGCCGCCGUUACCAUGGAAACAGCAAAAAUACAAAAAAAAUUCAAAAUGCUUCAAAUUUAUUGAAACUUAUUACAAAUGUUGCUCAGCUAAUGUAGACUUGACUUUUGAGUUUGGAAUUUCCAAAAUGGCCGCCGUUACCAUGGCUACCGCUCACCUGGCAAUAGGGGAAGGGUGCCAUCCGCUAUUGCUUGCAAUCGCAAAUCUAGUUCUUCUUCUUCUUCUUCCGCCACUUUAAAAA
rnacentral:lncRNA from 1 species